AAUAAAGUGCCUGACAAAAGGCUUAUCGUGAUAGGAUAAAUAAUGUAAUUACAAAAUUACCUUUAUUA
rnacentral:tRNA from 1 species